rnacentral:piRNA from 1 species
CAGGAUGUGAGCCACCGGCAAGGAGAGAC